rnacentral:rRNA from 1 species
AAUCAACGCUGGCGGCGUGCCUCAGACAUGCAAGUCGAACGAUUAAGACUUCCUUCGGGAAGUGCAUAAAGUGGCGCACGGGUGAGUAACACGUAAGUAAUCUACCCUCGAGUGGGGAAUAACAGUCGGAAACGACUGCUAAUACCGCAUAAUGCAGCGGCACCGCAAAGUGACAGUUGUUAAAGGAGCAAUCCGCUUGAGGAGGAGCUUGCGGCAGAUUAGCUAGUUGGUAAGGUAACGGCUUACCAAGGCUACGAUCUGUAUCCGGUCUAAGAGGACGGUCGGACACACUGACACUGAAUAACGGGUCAGACUCCUACGGGAGGCAGCAGUCGGGAAUUUUGGGCAAUGGGCGAAAGCCUGACCCAGCAACGCCGCGUGAAGGAUGAAGUAUUUCGGUAUGUAAACUUCGAAAGAAUAGGAAGAAUAAAUGACGGUACUAUUUAUAAGCUCCGGCUAACUACGUGCCAGCCGCCCGGUAACAC